rnacentral:lncRNA from 1 species
GACACAAGGCCUUGGUUCUUCAACUGCAAAGAACUGAGUUCUUCCAGCAACCCAAGGAAGCUUAGAGGAAGACCCUGAGCUCCAGAUGAGAAAUCAGCCUGUCUGACACCUGGAUUGUAGCCUUGUGGAACCCAUCUUAGCUAUGCUUGGGCUUCCAACCUGUGAGAAAUUAUAAUAUAAUGAAUGUGUGUUGUUUUAAUCCUAUAAAUAUGUUGCAAUAUAUUAUGUGGCAAUAGCAAACUAAUACAGAAACCAUCACAAUAGUUUUGAAAAAUUUUAUCAUUCCCCUCCAUAAAAUUUCCUUGAGACCAUUUGGCUGUUACCUCAAGGCUACCGGUAGUCUGUUAUCUUUUCUUACAGAUUUACCUUUUCUGGACGUUUCAUAUUAAUGGACUCUUACAACAUGGAAUCUCUUGUGUCUACUUUAUUUCAGUUAGCUUGUUUUAGAGGAUGCUUCAUGUUGUAGCAUGUACCAGUGGUAUUCUAUUGUAUGGAGACACUGUAUUGUGUUUAUAUAUUCAUCAGUGGAUUGACAUUUGCAUUGUUUCCAGUUUGGGACUUCUCUGACUGGGAAUAAUGCUGCUCUGAACAGGAGCAUGCAAGUCUCUGUGUGUACUGUGUAUACUACCCAUUUCUCUUGGGUAGUUACUUAGUUGUAGUUACUUAGUCAUUUUACUUUCCCACUAUAUGGCAUACUUAUGUUUAAACUGUUUAAGACAGGGCUGGGGUUGUGGCUCAGUGGUAGAGCACUCGCCUAGCACAUGCGAGGUGCUGGGUUUGACCCUAAGCACCACAUAAACAAAUAAAUAAAAUUUUAAAAAAGGUCCAACUACAACUAAAUAUAUACGUUUAUUUUAUGUUUAAGACAUUGUCACACUGUUUUCUAGAAGGGCUGCAUCAUUUUACUUUCCCACUAGGUAUGAAUGAGGGUUCCAGCUUCUUGACAUCCUUGCCAAGCCCUGGUCUAUUUUUAUUAAGGUCAUUCUGGUGGGAGUGUAUAUUUUUUUGUAGUUUUACUUGCAUUUCCCUAUUGGCUAGUGAUGUGGAAUAUAUUCUCAAAUGUUUACAAACCAUUCAUAACUCUUCUUUGGUGAAAUGUCUAUUUAAAUGUUUUGCUAUUUUUUUUUCAAUUGACUCAUUUAUUUUCUUAUUGAGUUUGAUUUUUAAAAAAUAUAUUCUAGAUACAGUCCUUUAUCAGAUGCAUAAGUUGUGAACCUUUUGUCCCAUUUUGUGGACUUUUAACUUUCUUUUUAUUUAUUUUAUUUUUUACUCUACAUUUUUUUCUUUUCACUUUCUUGAUGGUAUUUAUUGGAGUAUAAAAGUUUUUAAUUUUGAUGAAGUCCAGUGUAAUUAUUUUUUCUAUUGUUGCUUGUGCUUUUGGUGUUUUAUCUAAGAAUCUAUUUCUUUACCCACAGUCAUAAAAAUUUACUCCUAUAUUUUCUGCUAACAGAUUUUGGUAUCUAUUUUAGGGUGAUCUUGUUAAUUUUGUGAAGAAUUUGCUAAAAUUUUGAUACAUAUUUCUUUAAAUCAGUAGAUCAAUUUUGGGGAAAUUAUAUGUUAUCAAUAUUAAAUUCUC